GGCAGACAUCAAAAGAUCCAGGUGGUAGAUGGGGCAAGACAAAUUCUGUGCAGAGUUGAACAACCUCUAGAAUGCUGGUGUGAUGUUAGGAUCGUUUAGCUGGCUGAAAAAAUACCUCCUUCUCUGGACAGAGUCUACAGUCCACUUAUUAGGAAGUCAUUCCUCUAACUUGAGGCUUCUUUCAGAUGUUCAAAUUAAAACUCCUGUGGACAGGCUGAUGCAUGCAACACAGUCAGUUGCUUGUUUCUUCACUGGGAAGAAGUCUGGUCUUUCCUCAGCCAAGUUGGAGAGGUGGUGGUGGUCCAGAGCAUGAACACAGAGGAGAGAAUCUUUUACCUGACUUCCACCCAAGAGAGCCCGUUUCUCCAGGGAGGUCAAGUCAAGUGGGCUACCAGGCCACAGGACCCUGGUGUGCAACCAGUUUACAUAAGCCAAGCAUCUUCUACAGAAAAAGGUGGCCCCUUCUUCUUCAGACCUUCUUCCCCUACCUACUCUCAAAGUGUCUACAGCUCUCAAGACUCCUCUGCUGAAAUCCAGCAGUUGGGGUGUCUCGGGAUCACAGGAUGUGGUGGAGGUGACCCCAGGAAGUUAUUGCAUAUGAGCCAAGGGCGCUUUCCUCCCCUCCCUCCCCUCCCAGGAUGGUGGUGAGGCCUACAUGCAAUGUGCUGCUGUCAUUCAUCCUCACCCCAGAAGAAAAAGAGGAAAUGAAGAGAGUAAAGAGAAGGAAUGAGCACUUGGGUUCACAGUUCUUCUUCAGCGGUUGAAAUGAAGAGCCUAGGAAGCACCAAGCACAGAAUCACCUGCUCCUGUGGGCACUACCUCAUUGAAACCCUAUGAACUGCCAUUUCCUAGAUUCAUCAUAAUGAAGCAUGAGAAAGAGGAAAGCACUUUUAGAAAGUGACCUGAAACUGCAGAAGACCCAGAGUUUAGAGGAAUAUCAAGGCAAGAGGCUAGAAAGGCCAAUUUAGG
ensembl:lncRNA